rnacentral:tRNA from 1 species
GCCUCCAUCGUUCAGUGGUAGGACGCCUGCCUUGUAAGCAGGCUGCGGGCGUUCGAUUCGUCCUGGAGGCU